GGGGGUAUAACUCAGUUGGCAGAGUGAUUGCCUAGUAUGCAUGAAGCCCUAGGUUCAGUCCCCAGUACUACCA
rnacentral:tRNA from 1 species